CUAUUCUGAAACCAGUGCUCAAAAUAUUAUUUUGAGCACCACCUGUCUCUAUAAGGAAGCGACCGCGACCGAUCCAGAAGAAAAAAAAGAAAAUUUCAACCAGCCUCGUGACCGAGCGCAUCCGCCCCACACGCACGACCCCCAUCCCCACGAUACCCACCCCACUACCGCAUCCACUCUCGUCGCCGGCCAGCCCGGCCACCGCCGGCGAGCCGCUGCGCCGCCGGUAAGACCCCCGCCGCCGGUACGCCCCAACCUUCCGCCGUAGCCGCGUCCCAAGCUUCUGCGCCGCUGCUGGAGCACCAUGUACAGUCCAUCCUCCGACCUCGUCGCCGCCGGGAGGCGCCGCCGCCGAAACGCCCGAGCGCCCCGCUCUGAGGUCUGGCCGCCCCCAUAUCCUCCGCGCCGGGAGUCGUUGCCGCAAAAACACCCGCGCGCCCCCGCCCUGAGAUCCGCCCGCCCCCAUUACGAGGCCUGCGCGCCUCCGCCGAAAGGUCCUCGAGGUGCCCCGCCGCUGCAACUGGGUGCUAUCGCUGUUUGUGAGCCGCCCCGGCAACCGACGCGUUCCUCCCGCAGCUCGUCUUCACCGGUGACCCGCGCCGCCGAACCAAAUUGCAGGUCCAUGGAUCCUGUGCGGCCGCCUGUACUUUUUAAACUGCAGCGCCUGUAUUUCCUCUCUGCAAUGCCAAGAAGCGGGCGCGAGCAUGAGUUCUGGUGGCCAUACGUCCCUUCUCCUGCCUAUCUUUCUCCUGCCUAUCUUCUAUGCAGCUGGUGCGCCCAGCGUUACCCUGCUCUGGUCAGCCAUCUCUCCGGUGUUGCUCAAUUUUUCCUCUCUGCUCUCCCUCUAUCUCUCGGUACAAUUGUGCUAAUACAGGCAGUGCAUUUUAUUUGUUAAAACAAGUACAAGAGUGUUGACGCCCCAGGUUCGGUCGUGUUUGUGCCUUUGAUCGCGCGGAUGUUGGUCGUAUUUCGUGGACCUGCGUGGGAUGCUGGGCAGGAACUCCGUGAAGGUCACAUGUGAGCUCGUCAUGCAGGAGCUACGAAUCAAUUCAGUGAGCAAGCACUUCAGGCUGGAACUGUUGAACCGACUGAGAGAGAUCGUGAUCUUUGAUCCCCUGUCGCAUGAGCAACUGAAGAAGUUGGCUCGCCUGCAGAUUUUGUCGAGGCUGCGCAGCACUGGACAAACAGCUUCCAUUGGUGCUGCUCGGGCGCUGCCAGAGUGAGCCGCCGUGACACGCCCCGAUGUUCGUCGUCGUCAAUGUUGGGCGUGACCGGCCGGCGAUUGGGCGCGGCGGUGUUUCUACCCCUCCUCUAUUUUCUCUGUGUUGGAACGGGCAGCAAACUCCCGUCAUCUGGCCGUCGUCGUUCUCCAGCCGGCACAUUUCUUCCCGGCGGCGCGGUUCCCAGUCCAAGGACCCCAAGGACCUCCGUGGCUCACGUUCCCCGCCUCCACCAUGAUCUCUUGCUCGUCCAUCCAGAUAACGGCGUGACAGUGGUCGGAGCCAGCCCACCAGCUCCUGCACGUUGGCAGAUGCCCACGCGAAACCCCUCCUCCUAUGGCGCCUCAAUUCUAUUUUUUCUCUGGAGAUCUCUUCUCUGUUCUCUCUCUCAACAGCAGUACAACUAUGCUAAUAGAGGCAGCGCAAGUCUUGGUUAACAUAAGUACAAAGAUUGUGACGCACUGACGCCCCGUUUGAUCUUUCUUUUGGAUCCCAGCAUUACUUGUUCGGGCGCGCGGGUAAUUUUGUGGACGUCAGCAACCAGCAACUGGAUUUUCCUUCAUGAUUCAUUUGAGAAAAAGCGCACUUGCCAAUAAACCUCACCGGAAAACUUUAUUCAUGGUUGCUGCCUUUGGUGUGAUGCUGGCAGCUGUCGGGAGGGAUGAAUAGCCCUCUCAGCUUUUUUUUUGUUUAUUAAUGUUUGCAUCAUUUUUUUGUUUGGUAA